GAACAGUCAUACUCCACUACCCAACAACUCAUGCAACUCUCUCACUUAUAACUUCUACAUUAGCCUUAUCAAGUUGAUACUAAAUACUAUAAUUAUAAUCCUCUAAUAAUUCUACCCCUGCGUUCAGAUUGAAUUAAUAGUCAAGUUUAGGUCAAAAAAUACCACCUCUACUGUAGCCUCGCUACCAGGGCUGACGGAGGACUCUCCAACAUAAUCUAGAUCCCAAAAUAUCAGAGAAUUGUUGAAAACAAAUAAUUGCCAAUUCCCAAAUUUUGAAAAAAUGUAGAAAUUGAAGAACUUGGUAUGCGAAAACAGAAUG
rnacentral:misc_RNA from 1 species